rnacentral:tRNA from 1 species
UCCCUGGUGGGCCAGAUGGUAAAGUAUCUGCCUACAAUGCAGAAGACCCGGGUUCAAUCCCUGGGUUGGGAA